rnacentral:tRNA from 1 species
AUAUUAUUAAGAUUAAAAAGUCUAUAGGCCUUCAAAGCCUAAAGUGGGAUUACUCAUAAUGUG